UUAUAUAAGGCACUUGGUGGCUGGAUUCAUUCUUUUGGCUCCUGUCCUCUUCCCUGCUGUCGUCGCUUGUUUAACAGCUUUGACCUGAGCACAGUGCAUGUGGAAACCCUGCUGUCUUGCCUAUCUGAAUGAUCUUGUGUUAAUGCCCCAUGUCAGAGGUGCAGAGUGCCAUCUUGUUGGGAGGCGAGGUACCUAUGGUGUGGUCCUUACACUUUAUGCGAGUAAGAGCACCGGGACACUAAUGUAGCAUUGCACCAUUUGGCCAUGAGUAGAGUUGUGUUGCACCUGAGCAGCUCCAGUCCCUGCCUAUCUGCUUACUUUUGACAAAUCUAAUAAAACAUUUGGUUUAUUUUGA